rnacentral:rRNA from 1 species
GACAUGUACGGAACCUUUAGAGAUAGAGGGGUGCUCGAAAGAGAGCCGUAACACAGGUGCUGCAUGGCUGUCGUCAGCUCGUGUCGUGAGAUGUUGGGUUAAGUCCCGCAACGAGCGCAACCCUUGUCAUUAGUUGCUACAUUCAGUUGGGCACUCUAAUGAGACUGCCGGUGACAAGCCGGAGGAAGGUGGGGAUGACGUCAAGUCCUCAUGGCCCUUAUAGGUGGGGCUACACACGUCAUACAAUGGCUGGUACAAAGGGUUGCCAACCCGCGAGGGGGGAGCCAAUCCCAUAAAGCCAGUCGUAGUCCGGAUCGUAGUCUGCAACUCGACUACGUGAAGUCGGAAUCGCUAGUAAUCGUGGAUCAGAAUGUCACGGUGAAUACGUUCCCGGGUCUU